rnacentral:misc_RNA from 1 species
CCGAGUUGCAAAACUCCCUAAACCCUGUGAACGUACCUAUAACCGUUGCUCGGCGGGCGGCCCGGGAUCAUCCCGGCGCCCCUGGCCAAUCGCGGGCGCCCGCCGGCAGGAUCACCAAGCUCUGAUAAUUUUAUUGUACUUCUGAGUAUCUACUGAAUAAAGUCA